rnacentral:rRNA from 1 species
UACGGGGGGGGGCAAGCGUUGUUCGGAAUUACUGGGCGUAAAGGGCGCGUAGGCGGUUGGAUAAGUCAGCUGUGAAAACCACGAGCUUAACUCGUGGCCUGCAGUUGAGACUGUCUGGCUUGAGUGUGGGAGAGGAGAGUGGAAUUCCUGGUGUAGCGGUGAAAUGCGUAGAUAUCAGGAGGAACACCAGUGGCGAAGGCGACUUCCUGGCCUGUUCUUGACGCUGAGGCGCGAAAGCUAGGGUAGCAAACGGG